rnacentral:lncRNA from 1 species
UAAACUUGCAUUAAAAAAGGAGUAAACACAAGUGACAUAAUAAAAUGUACUUAAUACAUGAACUUGUAGAGAGUAGCAGUAAACUUGCAUUAAAAAAGGAGUAAACACAAGUGACACAAUAAGAUGUACUUAAUACAUGAACUUGUGAACAUUGGCUACAGGAGAAGUUAAUAGAAAUAGUGGUCAAUUACAUCAUGUAAUUUGGUUCUAUACUCUUUUAUGUAUAUGUCCUGAAUGCUACCCCUUUGUGAUCAACUCUUUGUCCUCCGAAUCGAAUGGCACAGCUACUACCCCUUGUGGAAAAAGAAAGGGUUCUGUAAUACCCAUAAAUGUAAAAGGAAAACAUCAUGUGAUGCAUCUCAACCUGCGCAAAACAAUGUAAAAACCAUACAUGUUAUCUACAUACCCUCAUUGUCUAGCGUACAAAAGAAUUGACAAUUAGCAAGAAAGAAGCAUGCCACUUUACAUGGAACAAAAAAAAUGAUUAUUAUGGUGAGCGCAGAAUAACAUGAAGUUGUCAUGUGCAGCCAACAACUGCAGCUAUCUGUAUAAGCUACUGCUACUUUACAAUCUAUAUUGACAGGAAUAUUUGUGAAGUCAUACAAAUCUAUCUUAAGUGAAAACAUGCUUAUAAGACAUCCUUAAUUCUCUCUGUUGUUCAGUGCCCUUUUGAUGUCACUUUAUUCAUAUGGCAAGUAUGGGUUUAAUCAUCAGUAGACGGAAACUUUGUGUGAAUCAAAAUACCAAGUUUAGUAUGGAAACUAUAGUUUCUCCAUGUCAUUAUUUCAAGACAAAGCACGUUAUUCACACCCACUUAGAAUCAUAAUUUCCAGUAAACUUUCCAUACAGCAAUAUCAAUAAAAAGGCUUCUGUUCUUUACCUUUGAUAGAAGAAGCAACUGGCUGAGGCUGCCCUAGCAUGAGGUCAAACUGUCGAUUGCAGAGCAAUAAAUAAAAUAUCACAACUAACGUGGAAAUACGUAGAGAGACAACCCGAGAAAUUUUUUCAGGUGCAGCACACACUCCUGAAACCAGACGGAACAUGCCGUGCAACCCCCGCCAACACCUUCAGAAAAUCCAUAAUAAUCCUAAUGUAUGACCAAAAAGAGAACAAAAAUUGGGAAGGUUAACUAAGGUACUGUAUUGAUGAUUGCAUUAGAAAAAAUAAGAAAAAGAUGUACUUCUAUGUGGCACAAUAAAUGGUGCCGAGCAAAUAAACUGUACAUUUAGCUUUCCUGUUCGACCACACAGAAAAUAGGACAGCCCAAAACCGAAGUACUAAAUUAGUCUCUAUGUGUGAAGGCUGGAAGCUAUAUUCUGUUUAGUGAUAGAUUACCCAUCAAAGCAAAAGUAAUUCAAGAUUUUCAAUGGUAUUCCAUAAAUGCAGAUGAAUAAGACUCGAUAUUAAGUAUACGACUUUGUCCUUUCUGUACAUACCAAUAAGAAAAGCUAGAGAAAUUAAAAAAAAUCAUCUCAUACUACAUUUCCUGCCGGUGAGCUUGUCAAUCAAGCUGCCGGUGAGCUUGUCAAUCAAGCUGAGGUGAAAAAAUAUUCAGAGGUCCACCAGGCAGUAACCCAUAAUGCUUUUUUUUAUAGCUAGCAAAGUGAACCAUAUAGUAGAUGGGAAACAAUAUAAUAAAGGCCAAAUAAAGCAAUAAUCCAUUCAUUAUGUCGUAGCCAAAAAGAAUAAAUAAAAUAGUAUGUAAAAAACCAAAUUAAAAACAGAGAAAAGAACAACAAAUAGAAAAUGGGAGGAGAUAGAACAAGCAAAUCUAAAUCUAAGAAAAUGAGAGCAUACCAGGCAAAAUGACAGUAGAGCAAAUGUGCGCAGAAAAAAAACAAAAGGGGAGUUGAAAUACCCACGGAUGGGUUGGAGACGGCAAGGUCAUCGAGAAGUACGCCUAGCUCUCGCGAAAAUGUGAAAAAUUUGGAAGCAUGAGCAUCAAAUCAGGUAUUUCUACUUGCUCCCAAGCUGAACACCAGAACAUCCAGAAAACUAUAAAUUAAUUGAGCAGGACAACUUCAUCUCAAAUUAGAUGUUAGACAUAUAUCCUGUUUUUGACAUGGCUAACUGCUAAAAGAUCCACAUGUUCGCGUAGUACAAAUUCAGUUUAUGGCAAUAUAACAGAUCAAGUGCCUAAAAUAAUUAGCUUGGAUCAUCUUCGGCAAUAUUCUAACAAAUAAGGUUAUGACCAUUCCUUGUCACCCAUAGCACAAACCCUCUGACUUUCAACUCAGCUACAAGAUCACCCCAUGAACCUUCUGAUCUCUUGGGAACAUCAUAUUUAAAGAGAGUUUAUUAAUUAACUACAUAAAGCAUAGGUAUGGAUAGUACUUAGAAGCUCUCUUGCUCCUAUUAAGAACUUAAAAGGUCCUUUCUUUUCUUUUCUCGACAAUACGUGUUGGGAGACCAGCUCAUGAACAGAAAGCAUUCCAGCGAGGAUGCACAUACUUAAUAUGGUUUGGCUCAUAACAUAGUUGAAAUUCGUUGUCUCAAUAGUGCUUCACAUUAAUUUUGGUAGAAACAUAUUUCACAUUAAUUUUAAUUAAGAGGAGCAUGGGCAUUUCCUCAAUGAGAUGGCAGAUGCAAGCAAUUGUGAUCAGCAGAAAAGGCUAAAUCGUCAGGGUGCCAACGACAUAGAUCAAUGGAAUAAAUGCUCACAAAUGAAAUGACAGUGAAGGGGAUAUGAAUCUUGACUCUGGGUUGAACAAAGUAAAUGGGAUAAGCUUACCUUGCCGCAGAGACGACCGACGCCCAACUUCAAGAAAAAAGGCGAGUGCGCCAAGCAAAAUCUGCAAGGGAAAUCUUAAUUCAGACAUGGUAUCACCUGGACAUAGCAAGACAUCAUCCGGAUGUCUAAAAUGCACCUCACCUGCUGGAAUCAUCCUCGCCUCAAUGAAAGAAAUAUAGCCCAGUUUGACCCUGAAUAUGAAGCAAAAAGACAUAAUGAGACAUGCCGAACCUGCAAUGAAUGAAUGAAUUGUCUGAACCUACACUGGAUAGCUCAUGUCUUGACUGUCGCUCACGCUCUUGUCCAGCUUGCUACACCGUGCAUAGUGCUCACUGGCGCUCGCCAUCUCCCAGCCGGCGAGCCUUCUUGCUAAGGCAUCAAUAACAUGUAUGCAUUUUUCUCCAAUUCCACAGAUACGAAGAAGGCAUUGCAGUGAUACAAUUUUCCAAACAUUCGAGACAAUAUAGAAAUGGGGGAAAAAACUUCUAUCAUUACAUUCAGGAAUAAUUUCAGCAGAGAAAUGUCAAUUUGGCAAAAACUCUGUUAAAUUCUUGUUUUCCACUACAGCUAAAAGUACUCAUAUUUGCUUAAUAUGGUAUAGACAGACCAAAACAUCCACAAAAACUGUACAAAGAAGCAAUGCAUCAACCACUUGGCUUGCACAACCUAGAGAAGAACACACACAACAAUUCUCAAGACUAAAUAAGAUAAACAGUGACAUUAAAAAACUGAGAUGAUUCACACCAGUCGCCAGUAAGGAGCUGAGGCGGCAACUAAACUUCUUUUCACUACAUCUGAAGUGACAUUUAUUUUCUUAAUGGGAUAUAUGGAAAACAAAGGUUUGUCUGCAGAGAUGUGUGGUUUAUCU